UACGUAGGGGGCAAGCGUUGUCCGGAAUCAUUGGGCGUAAAGGGCGCGUAGGCGGGCUUACAAGUCUGAUGUGAAAGUGCGGAGCUUAACUCCGUAAAGCAUUGGAAACUGUGAGUCUUGAGGACAGGAGAGGAAAGUGGAAUUCCUAGUGUAGCGGUGAAAUGCGUAGAUAUUAGGAGGAACACCAGUGGCGAAGGCGACUUUCUGGACUGUAACUGACGCUGAGGCGCGAAAGCGUGGGGAUCAAACAGG
rnacentral:rRNA from 1 species